rnacentral:rRNA from 1 species
UACGGGGGGGGCAAGCGUUGUUCGGAAUUACUGGGCGUAAAGGGCUCGUAGGCGGCCAACUAAGUCGGACGUGAAAUCCCAAGGCCUUAACCUUGGAACUGCGUCGGAUACUGGAUGGCUUGAAUUCGGGAGAGGGAUGCAGAAUUCCAGGUGUAGCGGUGAAAAUGCGUAGAUAUUCAGGAGGAACACCAGUGGCGAAGGCCGGGUGCUCUGGGGCCGGAACUGACGCUGAGGAGCGAAAAGCGUGGGGGAGCAAACAGG